CUCAAAGCCAGGAUAAAAGGGCCUUGGCCUCAGAGCACCUUCGUAUACUCCUCUCCUGAGGUGCUGACAGACUAGUGCUGCUUGCACACGCUCCUGACCCCUCCUGCCGAGAUGUCCUGCCAGCAAAACCAGCAACAGUGCCAGCCUCCUCCCAAGUGUCCCCCCAAGUGUCCUGCCCCCAAGUGCCCCCCCAAGUGUCCCCCAUUCUCUUCCUGCUGCAAUGUCAGUUCUGGGGGCUGCUGUGGCUCCAGCUCUGGGGGCAGGGGCUGUUGUAGCUCUGGGGGUGGUGGCUGCUGUAGCUCUGGGGGUGGUGGCUGCUGUCUGAGGCACCACAGGCGACGCAGGUCCCACCGCCACAGGCACCAGAGCUCUGACUGCUGCAGCCAGCCCUCAGGGGGCUCUGGAUGCUGCAGCCAGCCCUCGGGGGGCUCCAGCUGCUGUGGAGGGAGCAGCGGUCAGUCAUCUGGAAGCUGCUGCUGACAUGGACCCUGCCUGAGCCAAGAAGAGCAGACUUGGAAGCAACGAACUGCUGAGAAGGUCAUCUUUCUCCUCCUAGGCCUAACUCAGAGUCUGAGAGGUCCCAGAGAAGACUCUGAACUUGCAAAGACAAGAUGACUUCUGUGGGGUUUAGAAAUCAACUGUCUCCUACUCCCCCAUCUUCUGGCCUUGGAUUUCAUCCCCAUGUCAAAGUAACUCAUGUUGUACCUUAUUCCACAGUGCUCUCUGGCUGAUGUAAAACAAUAAAAUCAGGAAUCUGCUCA